CAUAAAGAGAGAAGAAGAUUAAGCGCAAAAUCUUAUAAAUUGUCUUCGUUUGGAUUGGAAGUAGCCUGUGCAGUGUGCAAUUAUUGAGCGAUGGAAAAAAAUCUUAAGAGAACUUCAAAGGAAAACUGUGAGGCUGGACCUUUGAAAAGCAAACGUGAAUACUCAAUGAUUGCGAAUGAUCGCAAUUGACGUGCAACCGUUUAGUGUUGUCAAUGAUAGAGGAUUUCGUGAGUUGUUAGCAGAAAUGGACCCCCGCUACAAGUUACCAAGCAAAACCCAUCUCCGUAACGUAGCGAUUCCAAACGCAUAUGCAGAUUUGAAAACAAAACUUAAAUUUGCCUUGGAUUGCGUGGAAAAUGUGGCGAUCACAGCCGACGGAUGGACGUCCAUGGCAAAUGAGGGCUACUUAACCAUAACUUGCCAUUUUAUAAAUUCGGAAUUCCAGCUAAAUUCAGCCGUACUGUCCACAACGACUCUGAUAAACCAAACUAACCACACGGCUGCCAAUAUCGCAGAAUCGAUUCGAGUGGUUUUAGUAGAGUGGGGUCUAGUGGAGAAAGUUGUUUGCAUUGUGACAGACA